UCUAAAAAUAAACAUCUGUACCUAAACCAAUUUUAUUUUUGAUCCGGUCGGUCACAAACUCUCAUUUAAUCGGAGAACUAAGUUGAGAGUUUGGAUGGUUUAUCAUUUAUGUGCAAAGAUAAGUUAACUUGUUUUUUCUGAUAUACACAAUUAGUGGGCGAUCGAUAACUCCCAGCUGUGGUCCCUCGGUGCUUAUUAUUAAGUUUAAUUGAAUUUAACUGGCUUUAAUAAGUCAAAUUAGUCGGGCGUUCUGAAUGCGUAUUAAAGCGUUUUAGUGUAUCAGUAUACUUUUGUGAAAAAAGUAUGCUGCCUCAAGAAGAAGUAUUGGUUAGUAGCGGUACAUCAGAUUUUUUAAAUCUGUAUGGAGAUAUACGGAAUUUAUAUGAAGCGCAGUGGAGAUAUCGGAUGGCCAUAACAGCACAUAAAGAAUUCCUAAUACAACUGAAUAAUUUGAGUCUGGCCAGAGCUGCAGAGCCUAUCUCCAAAGAAGAAAUGAGAAACGUGAUGGUUCUUGCAUACCAAGGGGCCAAUCUUCAAUAUAAAAUAAGGCAAAAUGUUGAAACGUAGUGCAAUAAAUAUGUAUCGAGUAUACGCUCUUAGAUAAAGAUAAUGCAACUUUAAAAAAAGGUUUUGGGGCAAGAAUAAGGUUUUGUUUGUGAUCUUUGAUUCUAGUGCACACGCUAACAGCCCGGGCAAUGUUUUCUUUUAUAAAAAAGCGCUAGGUUUUACCAAAUUUGGGCAUAGACGUAUAGAGGCUGUUGCAAUAAACUAAUAACUGAUUUAAUUUUCUAGUCAUAUGUAUUGCCACUAUUUAUUUUUAUACGUAAAUUAUUACUAUACUGUAAUUUAGAAUCCAAUAUGUAUUGCAUUAUAUAGUUAUACUUUAAAAUAUGUAGACAUACUUUUUAGCACGUUAACUGCCGUGGAACAUAAAUAUGGUGUCUCAUGUUACUUUCAAUAAUAGCUGCGUGACAUAUCUGUGGUGUCUCAGAGAUAAUUGUGUACUAUAGCCGUGUGAGCCUUGAUCGGCGUCUCAGUCCUAUAUAAGUAAUAUGGAACUGAAAGAGCGCGGUUGUAACUGUCUGACACUAGCUGUUUUUUUUUUUUGAAUUUGAGACUCGAAAGUGGAUUUUCAUGGUAUCAAAAAUAAGUCAUUCACAAAAAUUUAUAGAAAAUAAACAUUUUUGUUGAAUAAAAUACAGCAUAAAAGGAAGAAAGCUAAAAAAGUAAACGAAAUACAUCCAAAUUCAAACAUUUAAAAAUUAUUUGUUACAGUUAUGUACCUGAAGAAAGCAUCCAGAUUCUCUUUAAAGCUUUUGAUAACAAAUGACGCAUCGACGUCUGUUACCAACAUCUUCCAAGAAAUGCUGAUGCCUUAGAAAGUUGAAAGGCUUUCAAUGUUCUAAGGUUGACGCUCUUCCAAAGCAACAUUUUGCCUUGUUGCUCAAUGUCAAGACCUAAGAGACUGUUUACGAUCUCCUGCUUAAUUUUUGGGAUGGACAGUUUUUCAUUUAUUUAAAAUAUGUGCAUUUACCAAAGCACUGCCAAUAAGAAGCUCAAUAGCAAGCUUAUGUUACCACUUCACCCCUCUGCGUAAUGAAGUGGUGUAAGACUUCAUUUGGCCCGAAAGAUCAAUGUAGGCUUUAUGUUUGUUGUAGUCAACAAUCGCAGCAGGUUUUCGGAAUUCUUUAUCAUGGUUACUAAUACAUCAGUGUUUUGUGGAUAAGGUAAGCAUAUCUCUUUUGUCCUUCCACUUUUGGACAAUUACACCUAAGGUGCCUUCAGCAGCCUCGGUUUCUCCUUUCCUGAGCUUUUUGUUAACAAUUUGCUUAGGAUUCAUUUUUCAAUUUGAUCGAAGAGUGCCAACUAAGUGAGUCUUCCUGGCAAGUAGAGCAUGUGCCAAAACCACACUUCUAUAAUGAUUAUCUGUAAAAAUAAUACGUCCUUUGUCAAGUAAGUCAUUUGCAAGAAUGAGUACUACUUUUUGUGAUGAAGAUUGGCCCUCUACCCGAUCUUGCCCAUAAUAAAUCAACAUACUGUAAGUAUAUCCCUUUUCGAUGCACAGGUUAUAAAAUUUUAUUCGGAACUUCUGCAUUCGGAGGAAAAAGGAUGUUUAAUACGGAUGCUACGUAUGACUCUGAUUCAUGAAAUAAUAGGCUCAGGCAGGUGGAAGUGAGACGCAACAUUUGUUGCACACGGCAUUAAGAUAGAUUUUUAUUAUAUUUUUAUUUUUAUUAUAUUAUUAGAAGUAUUAUGUGUUGAUGCCGCGUGACCAUACGAAGUUUAAAAAAAAAAUUAAAUUUUUUUUGUAAAACAAAAUAUUAAUGAGUGUUCUAGAAUACCACAAUUAACUUUUGAAAGAAAAAAAAAAGUUGGCCGAAGGGACUGAUUUUUUUCAGCAUUACGGCAGUCAACGUGUUAAGAUAGUUUAUAAUGGAAAAUUAAAAUUAUAAUAAAUGUAUACAAGUAUAAGCUUUU